GCGGGCGUGGCGAAAUUGGUAUACGCAAGGGACUUAAAAUCCCUCGGCCGCAAGGCCUUGCCGGUUCAAGCCCGGCCGCCCGCACCA
rnacentral:tRNA from 4 species